rnacentral:rRNA from 1 species
AACGAACGCUGGCGGCAUGCCUAACACAUGCAAGUCGAACGAAGGCUUCGGCCUUAGUGGCGCACGGGUGCGUAACGCGUGGGAAUCUGCCCCUCGCUUCGGAAUAACAGUUAGAAAUGACUGCUAAUACCGGAUGAUGUCGAAAGACCAAAGAUUUAUCGGCAAGGGAUGAGCCCGCGUAGGAUUAGGUAGUUGGUGGGGUAAAGGCCUACCAAGCCGACGAUCCUUAGCUGGUCUGAGAGGAUGAUCAGCCACACUGGGACUGAGACACGGCCCAGACUCCUACGGGAGGCAGCAGUGGGGAAUAUUGGACAAUGGGGGCAACCCUGAUCCAGCAAUGCCGCGUGAGUGAUGAAGGCCUUAGGGUUGUAAAGCUCUUUUACCCGGGAUGAUAAUGACAGUACCGGGAGAAUAAGCUCCGGCUAACUCCGUGCCAGCAGCCGCCGUAA